rnacentral:rRNA from 1 species
AGCGAACGUUAGCGGCGGGCCUAACACGUGCAAGUCGAACGAGAAUGUAGACUUCGGUCUACUAGUAGAGUGGCGGGCGGGUGCGUAACACGUGGGUAAUCUACCUUCCGGCGGGGGACAACAGUCCGAAAGGAUUGCUAAUACCGCGUACGUCAGCGGCGCCUACGGGCGCUGUUGGGAAAGAUGGCCUCUCCUUGGAAGCUGUCACCGGAAGAUGAGCCCGCGUCCCAUCAGCUAGUUGGUGAGGUAAUGGCUCACCAAGGCUAAGACGGGUAGCUGGUCUGAGAGGAUGAUCAGCCACACGGGGACUGCGACACGGCCCAGACUCCUACGGGAGGCAGCAGUGGGGAAUAUUGGGCAAUGGGCGAAAGCCUGACCCAGCCACGCCGCGUGAGUGAUGAAGGCCUUCGGGUCGUAAAGCUCUGUGGGGAGGGACGAACAAAUCUGGGGCUAAUCACCCGGAUCCUGACGGUACCUCCUUAGCAAGCACCGGCUAACCCUGUGCCAGCCGCCGCAGUAAAAC